rnacentral:rRNA from 1 species
UACGGGGGGGGCAAGCGUUGUUCGGAUUUACUGGGCGUAAAGGGCGCGUAGGCGGCCAGCGCAAGUCGGUUGUGAAAUCUCCGGGCUUAACUCGGAAAGGUCAACUGAUACUGCGCGGCUAGAGUGCAGAAGGGGCAACUGGAAUUCUCGGUGUAGCGGUGAAAUGCGUAGAUAUCGAGAGGAACGCCUGCGGCGAAGGCGGGUUGCUGGGCUGACACUGACGCUGAGUGCGCGAAAGCCAGGGGAGCGAACGGG